AGUGAACGCUGGCGGUAGGCCUAACACAUGCAAGUCGAACGGCAGCACAGUAAGAGCUUGCUCUUACGGGUGGCGAGUGGCGGACGGGUGAGGAAUACAUCGGAAUCUACUUUUUCGUGGGGGAUAACGUAGGGAAACUUACGCUAAUACCGCAUACGACCUACGGGUGAAAGCAGGGGAUCUUCGGACCUUGCGCGAUUGAAUGAGCCGAUGUCGGAUUAGCUAGUUGGCGGGGUAAAGGCCCACCAAGGCGACGAUCCGUAGCUGGUCUGAGAGGAUGAUCAGCCACACUGGAGCUGAGCCACGGUCCAGACUCCUACGGGAGGCAGCAGUGGGGGAUAUUGGACAAUGGGCGCAAGCCUGAUCCAGCCAUACCGCGUGGGUGAAGAAGGCCUUCGGGUUGUAAAGCCCUUUUGUUGGGAAAGAAAAGCAGCAGGUUAAUACCCCGCUGUUCUGACGGUACCCAAAGAAUAAGCACCGGCUAACUUCGUG
rnacentral:rRNA from 1 species